AACACUGUUAACCUGCGGUACCUGCGGAAGGAUCAUUACCGAGUUUACAACUCCCAAACCCCUGUGAACAUACCUAUACGUUGCCUCGGCGGAUCAGCCCGCGCCCCGUAAAACGGGACGGCCCGCCCGAGGACCCUAAACUCUGUUUUUAGUGGAACUUCUGAGUAAAACAAACAAAUAAAUCAAAACUUUUAGCAACGGAUCU
rnacentral:misc_RNA from 1 species